AUAACCUCCUCUUCCCUUACAACA
rnacentral:siRNA from 1 species